UAGCUUGAGAGGAGCUCACAAGAGCAUGUGUCUACAACAGCAACAGAAAGAAAACUACAGAGGUCACUGGAUUCUUUUAAGUUCACACAAUACCUCACAGUGCAUACCUACUAGGAUGGCCUCAUCAUGGAAUACAGAACCUGAGAAAAUGGACAGCACUGUUGGGGGCUUGUGAGUUCCUGUCACAGCACUGAGCUUGAACAAUUUCGAUUAAAGCCCCAUGUUUGAGACUGUCAUUAGACCUGCAUUAAAUUACAUAUCUGG
rnacentral:lncRNA from 1 species